GUUCGAUUCUGGCUCAGAUUGAACGCUGGCGGGAUGCUUUACACAUGCAAGUCGAACGGGCAGCACGGACUUUGGUCUGGUGGCGAGUGGCGAACGGGUGAGUAAUGUAUCGGAACGUGCCUAGUAGUGGGGAUAACUACGAAAGCGUAGCUAAUACCGCAUACGCCCUUCGGGGAAAGCGGGGACCCGGGCCCUCGCACCACAGAGCGGCCGAUAUCGAUUAGCUAGUUGUGGGGCACUGCUCACCAAGGCGACGAUCCGUAGCUGGUUUGAGAGGACGACUGAGCCACACUGGGAUCGAGACACGGCCCAAUUCCUACGGAGGCAGCAGUGGGGAAUUUGACAAUGGGAAACUCCGAUCCAGCCAUCCUGCAGGGGUGGCGAUGAAGGCCUCGGGUACAAAGCACUUCUUGGUGCAGGAAAGAAACGGCAUCGAUAAUACCCUGUGCAACUGACGGUACCCGUGGUGAAUAAGCACCGGCUAACUACGCCAGCAGCCGCGGUAAUACGCAGGGUGCAAGCGUUAAUCGGAAUUACUGGGCGUAAAGCGUGCAGGCGGUUCGAAAGAAAGAUGAAACCUGUGAGCUAACUUUGAAACCGCAUUUUUAACUACCGAGCUAGAGUGUGUCAGAGGGAGGUGGAAUUCGCGUGUAGCAGUGAAAUGCGUAGAUAUGCGAGGAACACCGAUGGCGAAGGCAGCCUCCUGGGAUAACACUGACGCUCAUGCACGAAAGCGUGGGGAGCAAACAGGAUUAGAUACCUCUGGUAGUCCAUGCCCCAAACGAUGUCAACUAGGCUGUUGGGGCCUUCGGGCCUUGGUAGCGCAGCUAACGCGCUGGACCGCCUGUAUACGGUCGCAAGAUUAAAAACUCAAAGGCGAAUUGACGGGACCCGCACAAGCGGUGGAUGCAUAUGGGGAUUAAUUCGAUGCAACGCGAAAAACUCCAUCGCACUUUGACAUGUCUGGAAUCCCUGAAGAGAUUUGGGAGUGCUGCAAGAGAACCGGAACAGAGCGUAAUGGCUGUCGUCAGCUCGUGUCGUGAGAUGUUGGGUUAAGUCCCGCAACGAGCGCAACCCUUGUCAUUAGUUGCUACGAAAGGGCACUCUAAUGAGACUGCCGGUGACAAACCGGAGGAAGGUGGAUGACGUCAAGUCCCUACGCCCUUAUGGGUAGGGCUUCACACGUCAUACACGCAUCGGGACAGAGAGGGUCGCUAACCCGCGAGGGAGCUAAUCCUGAAACCCGAUCGUAGUCCGGAUCGCAGUCUGCAACUCGACUGCGUAGUCGGAAUCAGCGUUAGUAAUCGCGGAUCAGCAUGUCGCGGUGAAUACGUUCCCGGGUCUUGUACACACCGCCCGUCACACCAUGGGAGUGGGUUUUACCAGAAGUAGUUACCAACCGUAAGGAGGGCGAUUACCACGGGGUAGGAUUCAUGACCGGGGGUGAAGUCGUAACAAGGUAA
rnacentral:rRNA from 1 species